UACAGAGGUCCCAAGCGUUGUUCGGAUUCAUUGGGCGAAAGGGCGCGUAGGCGGCUUGAUAAGUAGGGGGUGAAAUCUUGCGGCUCAACUGCAAGGCUGCCUCCUAAACUGACAGGCUUGAGCACAGUAGAGGCAGGUGGAAUUCCCGGUGUAGCGGUGGAAUGCGUAGAUAUCUGGAGGAACACCGGGUGGCGAAGGCGGCAUCCUGGACCGGUAAUUGGACGCUGAGG
rnacentral:rRNA from 1 species